rnacentral:rRNA from 1 species
GACGAACGCUGGCGGCGUGCUUAACACAUGCAAGUCGAACGGAAAGGCCCUGCUUUUGUGGGGUGCUCGAGUGGCGAACGGGUGAGUAACACGUGAGUAACCUGCCCUUGACUUUGGGAUAACUUCAGGAAACUGGGGCUAAUACCGGAUAGGAGCUCCUGCUGCAUGGUGGGGGUUGGAAAGUUUCGGCGGUUGGGGAUGGACUCGCGGCUUAUCGGCUUGUUGGUGGGGUAGUGGCUUACCAAGGCUUUGACGGGUAGCCGGCCUGAGAGGGUUACCGGCCACAUUGGGACUGAGAUACGGCCCAGACUCCUACGGGAGGCAGCAGUGGGGAAUAUUGCACAAUGGGCGGAAGCCUGAUGCAGCAACGCCGCGUGCGGGAUGACGGCCUUCGGGUUGUAAACCGCUUUCGCCUGUGACGAAGCGUGAGUGACGGUAAUGGGUAAAGAAGCACCGGCUAACUACGUG